rnacentral:tRNA from 1 species
GGAGAGAUGGCCGAGCAGGUCGAAGGCGGUCGCCUGCUAAGCGACUACAGGAGGCUAUAAACCUUCUGUCGAGGGUUCGAAUCCCUCUCUCUCCGCCA